CGAACUUCAGCAAAUCAUUCGAGACAACCUCUACCUCCGCACUGUGCCAUAAUGUUGACCAUCCUAACGUGGAUAAAGCUUAAAGCCUGUUGGAAUGGUGACCCAGCGAUGGCCACUGUACAAACAGUUAAUGUGGCAACUGCAACUGUGCCAAGAGGAGGAGCGGAACAGUUGGGAAAUGAUUUUGGAGAAAUAGCACAAGAAUUUUAGGAGAGCUCACUGGGCUUGGUGAACACAGAGUGGCCAGGGACAAAGUCCACUGGACCUGCAGAACAGAAAGUGGUUUGAAAAUGAUUCAUUGCAGGACGGUAACC